GCGAGCCUCCCAGGAUUCUCAAACAGAAGCAGCCUGCCAGGCUGAGCCAUCCAGAAGACCCCUCCCUCUUCCCUGAGCUCUGUUUCUUCCAUGAGGUUGAAGAAAAAUGCCGUCGUGGUCCCCUGCCUGCUUACUCAGUGUGUCAAGCAGGAGUCCUCAGCUCCAGUGUGCCAUGGAGGGCCUUGGGAAGAGGUCACAUACCAUUCCCAUUCCCAGGCACAGGAGCACUGAGGACCCUGCUUGACCUCCUGGAUCAGAAAGGCAGAGAAAAUGCUGGGCAGAAGUCAAGGUGUCAGUGGGCUGCCCUCCCUCUGGAGGCUGCAGGGGAGAAUCUAUUCCUCGCCUCUUCCAAUUGCUGGUGGCUGCUGGCACACCUUGGCUUGUGGCCACAUUACUCCAAUUUCUGCCUCCGUGGUCACAUUGACUUCAUUUCUUCUGUGUGCAUCAAAUUUCUCUCUGCUCUGUGAUUGCAAUUUAGGGCCCCUGGAUCAGCAAUGUCACAAAAGACCCCAGUUCUUC